UGGGGAAUAUUGCACAAUGGGCGCAAGCCUGAUGCAGCCAUGCCGCGUGUGUGAAGAAGGCCUUCGGGUUGUAAAGCACUUUCAGCGGGGAGGAAGGCGAUAAGGUUAAUAACCUUGUCGAUUGACGUUACCCGCAGAAGAAGCACCGGCUAACUCCGUGCCAGCAGCCGCGGUAAUACGGAGGGUGCAAGCGUUAAUCGGAAUUACUGUGCGUAAAGCGCACGCAGGCGGUCUGUCAAGUCGGAUGUGAAAUCCCCGGGCUUAACCUGGGAACUGCAUUCGAAACUGGCAGGCUAGGGUCUUGUAGAGGGGGGUAGAAUUCCAGGUGUAGCGGUGAAAUGCGUAGAGAUCAGGAGGAAUACCGGUGGCGAAGGCGGCCCCCUGGACAAAGACUGACGCUCAGGUGCGAAAGCGUGGGGAGCAAACAGG
rnacentral:rRNA from 1 species